CUACCUCAUGUUGUUGUGCGCCUAGUACUGUUCAUCAAUCAUGUACUAGGCUGACUGAUCCGGGCGAUGAUGGGCCUCGGCCCAGAUCCAUCUAGCACAGCCCAGCAAGCCAGGCCAUCAGCAUAGGCGAGGUUCCGGCCCAGAUCCGCGCAGCAUUUGCUUCUUCCCGGAUAGGAUCACGAAGUGGUGUGGUGAGAUACGA